rnacentral:lncRNA from 1 species
GCUCACUCAGAGAAGACCUGAUAUUCAAGGAAAAGUCAGCCAAAAACCAGCUACCAGGAGGCAGCCUGAACGUGUCAGGGCCUGGGCACGACACUUGCCUUUCUUGGAGGAGUGAUUUGAAGCCAUAGUGGAAGACUGAGCCUCUAUAAAAAAUGAACGAGGACACUCUUAAUGGACAGAUACAAAACAAGCCCCAGGAGAAAGGUGUAUCAACCAUUUUAAAUCUGCCCUCAAAAGCACAGAACAAAUCAGACAGCAUUUUGCUCACAGAGGAGAGGGUGUAUGAGAACCAAAUUCCAGCUUCAGCACAUGGCCUUGGGUACAGCUACAAGAUGGAGGAAGCUAUUUGACCUGCAUCAGACUUUACGUGAACAAAAGGGUGUUGUUAUGUCCAAAGCCAUCUUGCCAUGCGCAGCCUGAGAAUGGAGCCAAUGACUGAGGGUGGCAGAGCAGAAAGAUGAGAUAAAUGGUACGAGGCUGAUAUGGGAGCAUCCAUCACUGACUACCAGGUUGCUACUCCCAGCUCCUGUCUUCACAUCUGCAUACCAACCAGUAAGAAGAGGAGAAGGAGCAAGGAGAGCACAUAACUUUCCUUUUAAGGACACAACUAGAUCUCAACUGUUGAGAGGAAACCAUACUGUCUGUCAUUAGCAAUUUUGCAAAAACAGCCUGUGAAUGCAUAUUAGCAUCACCUGAUUACUGAGCGCCCAGAGGCUCCGUCUCUCUGUACCCGGAUACAACACAGGAGGGAAAUGAUGUGGUUCCUGUCCUCAGAAACUCCUGGUCAAAGAAGGUUCCUGUGUCAGGAAGAAAAAACGCCAUUAGUAGAAUUUCUGAGCUGGAAAUGAGCAGGCUAGAGGUGGAGAGGAGCUGCAGCUACAGUCUGCACUAGAACCACCCCGUUGCCCCAUCUGGUUUCCAUGGAGUCAGACUUCUGAUGAGGAAGCUGGUCCUCCGGAAUGUGCAGAACGCAAGACACCCAGGCAAAGUGUCUUUAAGGGUAGGGACUGUUCAUUAUGGCUAUGGGAUGACCACAGAUUUCUUUCGUGUUAUCUGUUAGAAUGCUUUUGAUUGCUAGUAGCUGAAAGCUGUGACUUAAUUUGGCUUUACAAAUAAGGAAAUGUAUUAUCUCACAUAACUGGAAGUCCAGAGGUAGGACAGGCUCCAGGGACAGUAAGA